UUCCAUGUGACCGGGACAUGUAUGUAAAUUAAGUUAUGCAUAAUAAUGUGAAAGGACACAGGGAAAAUUCAUUGAACACCUGAAGAAAGGCAGGUGCAAAAACACAUGGAAAGCCAAGACACCACCUGAA